ACCAGGAUGGCUGAGUGGUUAAGGAGUUGGACUUAAGAUCCAAUGAAUGAAUAUCCGUGUGGGUUCAAACCCCACUCCUGGUA